ACGCUCGACACCUACGGGAGCAGCAGUGGGGAAUAUUGCACAAUGGGGGAAACCCUGAUGCAGCGACGCCGCGUGAGUGAAGAAGUAUUUCGGUAUGUAAAGCUCUAUCAGCAGGGAAGAAAAUGACGGUACCUGAGUAAGAAGCCCCGGCUAACUACGUGCCAGGAGCCGCGGUAAUCUGAGCGGGCUGGCAAGGC
rnacentral:rRNA from 1 species